ensembl:lncRNA LINC00943 long intergenic non-protein coding RNA 943
GUAUCCGGAAGAUGGUUCCGAAUCAACUGGAUAGGAUUUUUAAUUUCCGAAGGCACGAGCUCCCCUGGCAUCCGCAAAUGUGACCCGCAAUUUAGAGAGGAAGAGGAGCGCAGACCCUACCUGUCCGGAGUAACGGUCAGGAGAGAGGUGGGGAAGGGCUGGGCCCCUCUCGGUGUCCCGGGUUCCCGGCAGAAGUCUCCAGGGCUGAGGGAGUCUGCAGACACGGAGUUUCCGUGCCAGAGGAGCGGGUCCACGCGGACAGGCAGUUCCAGCUCCGGAGAGUCAAGGGAUUGGAUUGUGGAUUGCAUUGGUGGUUUUCCUCAGUUUCCUCAUCUUCUCCACAAGUUUCUACAUAUCGAAUGCAGAGCAGCCCUUCUUCAAAGGACCUCCUACGGAAGCUGCUAAGGAACUCAGUCUGUAGCUCUGCGUGGAGCCAUGUGUAAACACUGAACUGAGACCUGCCACCUCCUACUACCUAAGGGCCCAUUUUCAUCUGAUAUCAUCCCCCAGAAACAAACUCAUGAUGACUUCCAUGUUUUUUUUAGAUUAGAUACAUGGAGAAUUUUCCUUUCCCUUAGAAUUAAAAUCCUGCAUUCUAAUUUUCAGUAAGCUUUUUUAUUUCUGAAUAAUUUUAAAUUUAAAGAGAAGUUGCAAAGAUAGUAUAGAAUGUUCCCUUAUACCUGUUUUUAUUUAGAGUGAUGUUCCCAGGAGAAAUGAUAAUGCAGCAAUGGACAAGAACAGGAACAAGAGACAGUCUUACCAUCUUCUUACAAUUUAUAGAUGGGACAGUGGAAAGAGAAGCCACAUCGGGGUUGGGCAUGCAGAGACCUGGUCCUAAAUCUGUGUGACUUUUGCGAAAUCCUUUUGCCUCACAGAGCUCUAGGUUCUUAUCUGUCAAACAGGAACCAGACCAUCAGAUCCGUAGAGAUCCAACCAAUGAAGGAGACUUCGAAAACUUCACAUUGCCGUGUCAAUGUGAGGUUGCUGGAUGGUUAUGACAAGAAAUCACAUUAAAUUCACUGGGGUAACAUUGUUCAUGAAACGGGAUAAUGUGUUUCAGCGAUGAACCACCCAUGGCCUUACUACAGACAUAUUUCCACUUUGAAAAUGUGUGUGAGUGUACAUGUCUGUGUGUGAGGCAGAGAUUAGAAAGUGUAAAUGUGUGCGUUUUCAUUUUACACAUCUUACAUUUUCCUUUAAUUUGUUUGAAAGCCUGUUUUGUUUGUGGCUUCCAUUCCUGGAAGUCCCAUGAGUUGUUAGUGGUGAAGAUGGAACAGAUGUGUCCAACCCGGGGGACUCCUGCCCUCAGGGACUGAGCAGCUGCAAACCUCUCUCUCAUCUGAUUCCACUGUUUCUUCCACAUGUACACAUCAUGAGAAAUAUUGUUCAAUCAAUAUCUUCCCUUAAAUCAACUCAUAUGCUUAUUUACAUGAAUUUACCUAAAACAGAAACUUGAUAUCACUUCUGUAAAUGAAAAAAUUAAACUUUCUGGCUUUAAAUAAAGCAUAACAAUAAUAAUCAUGUCAAA